rnacentral:tRNA from 1 species
GGAGAGGUCGCCUAGUGGCCUAGGGCGGCGGUUUGCUAAACCGCUAUACUGGUGAAAGCCGGUAUCCAGGGUUCAAAUCCCUGCCUCUCCGCCA